AGUUGGGCUGGGAAUUUGAUGAUAAAACACUCCCACCCAGAAUUCCCUUCUGAUGUCUUCACAAUCAUGGAGGCUGCAGGAGCCAAGGUCACUAUAGGACACAGAGAUGAAUCACAGACAAUGGCACUCAGUGAGUUUUUGGGUACUACAAUGAAUGGCAAGGUGAUUCGUUCACUGGAGAUUCCACCAGGAAAGCCUGAAGACGUAUUCCGGACUUACAAAGUUGCUUCUCGGUCACAG